ACGGAAGGCAGCAGUGAGGAAUAUUGGUCAAUGGUCGGAAGACUGAACCAGCCAUGCCGCGUGCAGGAAUAAGGCCCUAUGGGUCGUAAACUGCUUUUGUGGUGGAGCAAUAAGGCGUACGUGUACGUCGAUGAGAGUACAUCACGAAUAAGCAUCGGCUAACUCCGUGCCAGCAGCCGCGGUAAUACGGAGGAUUCGAGCGUUAUCCGGAUUUAUUGGGUUUAAAGGGAGCGUAGGCGGGAAGUCAAGUCAGCUGUGAAAUGUAGACGCUCAACGUCUGCACUGCAGUUGAAACUGGUUUUCUUGAGUGCGUAAGAGGCAGGCGGAAUUCGUCGUGUAGCGGUGAAAUGCUUAGAUAUGACGAAGAACUCCUAUUGCGAAGGCAGCUUGCUGGGCCGCAACUGACGCUGAAGCUCGAAGGUGCGGGUAUCGAACAGGAUUAGAUACCCUGGUA
rnacentral:rRNA from 1 species